rnacentral:rRNA from 2 species
GAUGAACGCCGGCGGUGUGCCUGAUACAUGCAAGUCGAGCGCACUGGCCCAACUGAUAUGACGUGCUUGCACUGAAUUGACGUUGGAUUCCCAGUGAGCGGCGGACGGGUGAGUAACACGUGGGCAACCUGCCCUGAAGCGGGGGAUAACAUCUGGAAACAGGUGCUAAUACCGCAUAACAACGAAAACCACAUGGUUUUCGUUUCAAAGAUGGUUUCGGCUAUCACUUCAGGAUGGGCCCGCGGUGCAUUAGCUAGUUGGUAAGGUAACGGCUUACCAAGGCGAUGAUGCAUAGCCGAGUUGAGAGACUGAUCGGCCACAAUGGAACUGAGACACGGUCCAUACUCCUACGGGAGGCAGCAGUAGGGAAUCUUCCACAAUGGGCGCAAGCCUGAUGGAGCAACACCGCGUGAGUGAAGAAGGGUUUCGGCUCGUAAAGCUCUGUUGUUGGAGAAGAACGUGCGUGAGAGUAACUGUUCACGCAGUGACGGAUCCAACCAGAAA